rnacentral:misc_RNA from 1 species
AAACUGCGAAAAGUAGUGUGAAUUGCAGAUACUCGUGAAUCAUCGAAUCCUCGAACGCACAUUGCACUUCCAGGACUUCCCUGGGAGUAUGCCUGCUUCAGUAUCAGUGUUCAUCUCAAGCCAGUCUGGCUUGGAAUUGGGCUUUUCACAGGCUGCGAUUUAUCAAAGCAUGUGAGGCUUCAAAAUCAGCUAAAAGAGUCAGCCUUGACUGAUGCAACAGAAGCUGGAUAGUGCCGAAUUUUGUUGGCAUUUUUGAAAGCUGAAUAUGUUGUGAAGGCUUGUCUUCUUUACUUUUAUGGCUUGGCGAUUGCGAAGCCAUCUGGGCUUACAAACCCACCCAAAUACUUGAUCUGAAAUCAGGCAAGAUGACCCCCUGAACUUAA